rnacentral:rRNA from 1 species
AGGAGGGAAAGGGGAAUUUCCAUGGGUGGCGGUGAAAAAGGGGAGAUUUAUGGGGGGACCCCCAGGGGCGAGGGGGACUUUUUGGUUUGUAACUGACGGUGGGGCUUGAAAGCGUGGGGGGGCAAACAGGAUUAGAUACCCGGGUAGUCCAUGCCGUAAACGAUGAGGGGUAAGGUUGGGAGGUUUUCCACCCCUCAGUGCUGGAGUUAAGGCAAAAAGCACUCCGCCUGGGGGAGUACGGUCGCAAGACUGAAAACUCAAAGGAAUUGACGCGGACCCGCACAAGCGGUGGAGCAUGUGGUUUAAUUUGAAGCAACGCGAAGAACCUUACCAGGUCUUGACAUCCCCUGCAUAGCCUAGAGAUAGGUGAAGUCCUUCGGGACAGGGAGACAGGUGGUGCAUGGUUGUCGUCAGCUCGUGUCGUGAGAUGUUGGGUUAAGUCCCGUAACGAGCGCAACCCCUAUAAUUAGUUGCCAGCAUUUAGUCGGGGACUCUAGUUAGACUGCCGGUGACAAACCGGAGGAAGGUGGGGAUGACGUCAAAUCAUCAUGCCCCUUAUGACCUGGGCUACACACGUGCUACAAUGGAUGGUACAACGAGCAGCUAACCCGCGAGGGUAUGCGAAUCUCUUAAAGCCAUUCUCAGUUCGGAUUGCAGGCUGCAACUCGCCUGCAUGAAGCCGGAAUCGCUAGUAAUCGCGGAUCAGCACGCCGCGGUGAAUACGUUCCCGGGUCUUGCACACACCGCCCGUCA